rnacentral:rRNA from 1 species
CAGCGCCGCGGUAAUACGUAGGGUGCAAGCGUUAAUCGGAAUUACUGGGCGUAAAGCGUGCGCAGGCGGUUAUAUAAGACAGAUGUGAAAUCCCCGGGCUCAACCUGGGAACUGCAUUUGUGACUGUAUAGCUAGAGUACGGCAGAGGGGGAUGGAAUUCCGCGUGUAGCAGUGAAAUGCGUAGAUAUGCGGAGGAACACCGAUGGCGAAGGCAAUCCCCUGGGCCUGUACUGACGCUCAUGCACGAAAGCGUGGGGAGCAAACAGGAUUAGAUACCCCCGUAGUCCCUGUCUCUUAUACC